AUAAUUGGUAGAGAUGGGGUUUCACCAUGUUGGCCAGGCUGGUCUCAAACUCCUGACUUGAAGUGAUCUGCCUGCCUUGGCCUCCCAGAGUGCUGUGAUUACAGGCGUGAGCCACCAUGCCUGGCACAAGAAAUACUCUUUACUUCACUAUUUAAAUGUUGAGACAAUAUAUUUGAAAACAAAAUGAUCUUCCCCCAAAUGAAAAAUCAUCUCCACGAUAAUAAAGAAAUAAAAAUCAUUUUAUUAAUAAAUAAGCCUUAGACCAGAAUGUGAUGGGAAAUAGAGGAAAAGAGCUAAGAGUUUGAAAUCAGAUGCUUCAGUGUUCUAUACAACCCAUUAAGGACAUGUUUUCAAGAUAAACACUAAUCAGUCCUCAGGGAAGAGGACACAUAGUUGAACAGUCACACAUAGUUCAUCCUGACUCUACUUGGUAAUGGAGGUGACCAUCUGUGUCAGCUAACUAGCGUCAUCCUGAGGGAGGGGGAGAAACCCUAACCCACAACUUUUGGCAAGUGUGAGUUUUACAACAUGGCGACAGGGGCCCUCUCUGGUGAGGCUCCUACAAUCCGACAGAAACUGAUGUCAGCAGUAAAUAAUAAAAUUUAGAAUAUAUGAUUAAGUACAGAAUUUAUUUGAAGGCAAAGCUUGGAAAUAGCCACGUGGAAACAUCAACUCUAAAUGAAUGGGAUCAGCGUUCCCAAGUAGAGACGUUAAGAUUUCACACACAGGGAAAGACAGAGAAGCUUUAGCAGAAUCACCACGUUUUUUAUUCUGGGCCAGUGCAUAGGCUGCAGCAACUUGAUUGAUUACGGAUAGAUACACUUCAAGGAAGGUUACUUUAUCACUACAUAAGAAGGGACAAUGAUCCGAGGAGGUCUUAUCUCUGGGGCUACUUAGUCUUCUUAAUUACUUACAGGAAAACUCUUAGAAGUUGCACCUGCAUUCCACUGGACUCAGGUUGCCUGACCACAUUCCUCUCAAGGCUCAGAAUUAUCUCAAAGUCCAUAGCCUUAAAUUGAAGUUAUUUGAUGUUUGAAUUAUUUAAUUUCCUACUGAGAUAAAGGUACUGUUUCCCUUGUUGUUUGCCUUUCAAAGAGAGCUCCCAAGUCCUUCAAAAAUACACCCCUGGGUCAUUAAGCUGAAAAAAGGUUUAAUUUCUAAAAAAAAAAAACAAAGUUAGCCGGGCAUAGUGGUUCAUACCUGUAAUCCCAGCUACUCGGGAAGCUGAGGCAGGAGAAUCGCUUGAACUCGGGAGACGGAGGUUGUGGUGAGGCGAGAUCGUGGCUUGCACUCAAGCCUGGGUAACAAGAGAAAAACUCUGUCUAAAAAAAAAAACCUCAGAAGACAGAGAAAAUGAAUUUACAAAUUUUCUAAUUGAAUGUUCUAAGAGACAAAAGGAAAGAAAAAUCUCUUCCUUUACUUUUAAAGGAGGACUUAUACCUCUCAUUUAUUUGCUUGUUUGAGACAGGGUCUAGCUUUUUCACCCAGGCUGGAGUGUGGUGGCAAGAUCAGAGCUCACUGCAGCCUCCAACUUUCUGGCUCAAGUGAUCCUCCCACCUCAGCACCCCAAGCAGCUGGGACCACAGGUGUGGACUAACACACCUGGCUGUUUUUUUUUAUUUUUAGUAGAGAUGAGGUCUUACUAUGUUGCCUAGGCUGAUUUCGAAUUCCUGGGCUUAAGCGAUCCUCCCUCCUUGGCCUCUCAAAGUGCUGGGAUUACAGGCAUGGUGGCGGGCGCCUGUAGUCCCAGCUACUCGGGAGGCUGAGGCAGGAGAAUGGCAUGAACCCGGGAGGCGGAGCUUGCAAUGAGCCGAGAUCGCGCCACUGCCCUCCAGCCUGGGCGACAGAGCAAGUCUCUAAAAUGGACAGGAGGCAUCCCUGUGAUAUUAGGGGUAAUAUCACGGCACAUCAGAAACUAUCCACCAAUUAGUACCCGGAGAAUCUAGUCCUGCAGGGCAAGAGGAUGACAGCAGACGACACCUGGGGUCCAGCUGAGGAGAAAGCCAGGACCCGCCCCCUCGAGACCCUGCCCUUCAAAACACCACUUCCAGACCUUGCCCUCAAGAUGACGAUCACCCUCUGGCCCGGCCUCCAGGCAGCCUCCUCAUUCUUGCCCCGCCCAGAUUCUGUUCAAGGCCCUGCCCCUUCUAAUCAGGUCCCACCCCAACGGCCACCUACACACUCUCAUAGCCAGGUGUGGCUGUGAUCUAUCAGCCUUGGGCUCCCAAAGUGCUGGGAUUACAGGCAUGAGCCACCCCACCUGGCCCAAUCUUCUUAACAUAAACACUUUAAUGUAAAUUAAUUCUUAAACUCAAGGUUAAGUCAACUCAAUCUCAAGUCAAUGCCUAUUUGGCUCUAAUGUCAAUUAAAGCUUUAUGAUCUUCUAUAGUCACUGUAUUUGGAACAGUUAUCUCAAAAAUGAAUUUUCUGAUGUUCUGCAUGGAGUGCCCACAGACUGAAGACCUUGCCACACUUAAGACAUUUGUAAGAUUUCUGUCCAGUAUGGAUUCUCUGAUGUCUAAUGAGGUGUGAACGUGAAGUCAAGACUUUGCCACAAUCAUCACACUUGUGAGGUUUCUCUCCUGUAUGAAUUCUCCUAUGUUUUGCAUAGGAUGAAGCUUGACUGAAGACCUUGCCACAGUCAUGAUAUUUGUAAGGUUUCUCUCCAGUAUGAGUUCGCUGAUAAACUGCAAGAUAUGAUCGAUGUCUGAAAAUUUUACCACAUUUAUUACACUUGUAAGAUCUGUC
rnacentral:lncRNA from 1 species